AUUGAACGCUGGCGGCAUGCCUAACACAUGCAAGUCGAACGGCAGCACAAGGGAGCUUGCUCCCUGGGUGGCGAGUGGCGGACGGGUGAGUAACGCAUGAGAAUCUGCCUGGCAGAGGGGGAUAACCCGGGGAAACUCGGGCUAAUACCGCAUACGCCCUACGGGGGAAAGGGGGCUUUUAGCUCUCGUUGCCAGAUGAGCUCAUGUCCGAUUAGCUAGUUGGCGGGGUAAAGGCCCACCAAGGCGACGAUCGGUAGCUGGUCUGAGAGGAUGACCAGCCACACUGGGACUGAGACACGGCCAAGACUCCUACGGGAGACAGCAGUGGGGAAUAUUGGACAAUGGGGGAAACCCUGAUCCAGCAAUGCCGCGUGGGUGAAGAAGGCCUUCGGGUUGUAAAGCUCUUUCGGCUGAAAAGAAAUCGCACAGGCUAAUAUCCUGUGUGGAUGACGGUAUCAGCAUAAGAAGCACCGGCUAACUACGUGCCAGCCGCCGCCGUAAAAC
rnacentral:rRNA from 1 species